AAGUAGUUGCAAUCAUGCCAAAAGCCUUCCUUUCACAUCAACAUUGUCACUUGGAGGAUCUUCACUUUCAUCAACAAUGUCUCAAAGGUCUAAUGAAGCCAACAACAGCUAUAUUUUCUUCUUCCAAUGGUAGAAGUUGUCACCCCUAAACUUCUCAAUUACUCUCAAACCUUCACCAUCACUUGCAGCCAUGUCUAAGAAAGGAAUGUAUCAAAGUAAAUCAAUAAAAAGGAAGAAUGAACUCUCAAAAUCAACAAGAAGAUGUUGUUGCCUUGGAAACCCAGAAUGCCGUCUUAAUGAGUAAACUAUUGUUUACACUCUUCAAU
rnacentral:lncRNA from 1 species